rnacentral:rRNA from 1 species
UACGUAGGGUGCGAGCGUUAAUCGGAAUUACUGGGCGUAAAGCGUGCGCAGGCGGUGCGCCAAGCUCGAUGUGAAAGCCCCGGGCUUAACUUGGGAAUUGCGCUCGAAACUACGUGGCUAGAGUGUGUCAGAGGAUGGUGGAAUUCCCGGUGUAGCGGUGAAAUGCGUAGAGAUCGGGAGGAACAUCAGUGGCGAAGGCGGCCAUCUGGGACAACACUGACGCUGAGGCACGAAAGCGUGGGGAGCAAACAGG